rnacentral:lncRNA from 13 species
UCGGGAAUCAGGCUUUAAAUCCGUCUGCAGUCGCAAAUGAGCCCAACUUUCAAGAAAUCUAAAGAUUUGGUUAUUUAGGACACGUUCUACUCGUGUGCAUUGUGUUGCCUGUAAAUAUAAACCUUUGAAGAGCAAGUUAUAAAUAUUAAAGCCUAAGUGCAUAGGGGGAGUAUGUGUAUCAAAUUUUAGACUAAAUUUAUGCCAACCCAGUUUGGCACACGCACGCCUGAUGCAUUCAAGCUGCACUCAAACAAAUCAGGGAAGUUAUUUGGUUUUACAAUGGUAGGUGCCUGUUUUCAGAGACUGGUGAAUGACUUAACAAUAAUUAGCAUAUUUAUAUAACACGUUGGUUAUACGUGGGGUUUGGAAUUUAAGAGGCAUUAAUAUAAUUUCCUGAGCAGGAGGGAUUCCUGGAAAUAUGAAGCAAUGGCUUGUUUGGCGUUUCCCCCCCACAUACGAGCUACAUCUGUGUGUGCACUCAGGGUCUGAGAUGUGCAAUCCUGCCCAGAGAGCAGUUAUUUUCUUCCAUCUUCCUCUCAUCUCUGGAAGCUCCAUCAGUAUUGGAAUAGGCAGCAAUUAUUCCAAUCUCCCAUUUUCUGCCACAACAGCAAACUAGCAAACUGACAAAUGAAGCACACUGACAUCAGUCAAAAUUUAUAACAUUUUGGCACUAUUUAGUGAAACAAAUGUUGCUAAAAAUUACUUCCAGUCAUUGAAAUAAAACAAUUCCUGACAUUUGACUUCCUUCUGCUCUCCUUUUUAUGACUGGCUUUUGUAAUCAUUACAUGAAGUUUUUUUGAAAAAGGAAUACAGCAUUAUAGGAGCCAAUUAUCCUUGUGUCACUGGUCUUAUUUUGGCAGAAAACCAUGUGCAUGCAGGGAAGCAGGGCAGCACGUCCAGUGUCUUGGAUGGAAGAAUGCAUAAUGAUAAAAAUGCACACAAAACAAUUAAACCCACCUAGAGCCCUCUUGGAGCAAGGGCUGCAGCUCAAGAAAAGCUGUGCUGAAAUGUAUCGUUAGACUGUGACUUUGUAACACUGUUCAUGCCCAUCCUGCCUGAGAAAACGUACAAUUAAAUGUGAAGUUUAAAGGAAGGACAGACAAGAAGUUCCCUUAAUUUACUUUGGAACAUACAAGGAGGAACAACAAAGUCAUUCACAGACCAGAAAUCAUACCCUGUUUAAUGUUUGCUGUCACAAUCUAUCGUGAAAUUAUUAAUAGAGUCAGAACAGCUUCUGUCAGCAGUAGGGAUUUGUAGGAUCUAUCACUAAGACAACUUUGGUAACUGGGA